rnacentral:rRNA from 1 species
AUGGGGACAAAAUUCAGAUUCAAGGUCAAGCUAUACAAGGACAGAGCAGGAAGCAGCGGAGACGGCGGCGGCGGCGAGCCCACGCCGCCGCCCGCACCAGGGCCUGCGCCGUCGCCCUCCCUCGACCCCGCGGCGCUUUCCGCCUCGCCGCUCCCGCUUCAGCCGCCGCCGACCCCCAUCGUCAGGUACACGUAUCAAGGGCAGGAUGAUGAUGACGAUGAUUGGCCCGAAGACGAUGGAACGGAUUUGGAUGCGGGGCAAGAGGAUGAGGAUGAAUUACCAGAUGACGAGAAAUUCUACAUUCCAUUGUUCAUGAGUGGUCAAAAGAAGAAUCUCCCGCAUGAUCUCUUUCGGCAUGACUCGGUGCCGCUCAACAAAAAUGAAUAUUUUUCUCUGUGGAAAAACUGGAAUCAGCUGCUGGACGGCAAGAGAACAUACCUCCGACCACUGAGGGACCGCCGUGUUCUCAGUGUUAGUGGUGUUUUCCGGCGGCCGUUAGCUCGUCCAUGGGCAUUAGAAUUCCAGGAACCACUCUUGGAUUUGGUUGAGGAUUAUCCAGAUAAUGACAUUGUCCAGGAAAUGAUCAAGAUUCUUUGUCAGCGCUAUGUGCACUUCAAACGAACUCGCGGAGAUGGCAGCUGUUUCUACAGAGCUUUCUUUUUCUCCUACUUGGAAAAUCUUGGACAAAUGCAAGAUAGUCAAGCUGAAGUUACUCGUCUAAUGGAACAUGUGGCAGUGUCCAGAGAGAAUUUCUGUCGUCUGAAAUGGGACAAAGCAUACUUCUUAAAUCCUGAAGAAUACUUUUCAAGUGUUGCUUCUGAGCUGAAUCAUUUGGUCAAUUCUGUUGCAAAUGGUCUUAGUUCUGACGAGUUGCAGAAGAGAAGUCUACAGGAGAUGAUGCCACUCAGGGUUAUUUCCUUGCUAAGAUUGCUGGCAGAGACUGAGAUCCGUACGCGAAUAGAUGAUUACAAACCAUUUAUCCCUGGAAAGGUGAAUGUCAAUCAGUAUUGCUGGAAAGAGGUGCGUCCCCUGGACGUCAAAGCAUCGGCGCUAGCAAUGAGGGCUCUAACGUAUGCACUUGGCAUCCCGCUGCGACUGGAAACUCUAGGCGAAGGCUUGACGGCUGGAGGUUUGCAAGUAAAGCGCCUUGAUUUCUUCCCUCGAUCAGAAUCAGGGAAGGGUGCUUUCCAUAUAGUUCGAAGCUAUUGGUCGUCAACCACAACCCCUGAACCACUGGAGAUUGGAAGUGGCAGCCUGAUGUCAUCUGAUGGCACACCUUUGCUGACCUUGCUGUGCAGGCCUGACAACUGCGAUAUUUUGUAUCGCAAGUAA